AAUAUACUCCCUCCGUUCCAAAUUACUUGUCGCAAGUAUGGAUGUAUCUAGAUGUAUUUUAGUUCUAGAUACAUCCAUUUCUACGACGAGUAAUUUGGAACGGAGGGAGUAUAAU
rnacentral:pre_miRNA from 1 species